rnacentral:rRNA from 1 species
UACGUAGGGUGCGAGCGUUAAUCGGAAUUACUGGGCGUAAAGCGUGCGCAGGCGGUUCGUUGUGUCUGCUGUGAAAGCCCCGGGCUCAACCUCGAGACGUCGGCGGAAACCCUCCAGCUAGAGUCCGGAAGAGGAGAGUGGAAUUCCUGGUGUAGCGGUGAAAUGCGCAGAUAUCAGGAAGAACACCCGUGGCGAAAGCGGCUCUCUGGGACGGUACUGACGCUGAGACGCGAAAGCGUGGGGAGCGAACAGG